GCGCCAGACUCCUACGGGAGGCAGCAGUGGGGGAUAUUGCACAAUGGGGGAAACCCUGAUGCAGCGACGCCGCGUGAGUGAAGAAGUAUUUCGGUAUGUAAAGCUCUAUCAGCAGGGAAGAAGAUGACAGUACCUGAGUAAGAAGCCCCGGCUAACUACGUGCCAGCAGCCGCGGUAAUACGUAGGGGCAAGCGUUAUCCGGAUUCAUUGGGUUUAAAGGGUGCGCAGGCGGGCCUUUAAGCCGGCGGUGAAACCCGGGGGCCCCACCCCCGCCGAGCCGUCGGAACUGGGGGCCUUGAGUGCGGCGGAGGCAUGCGGAAUGCGCGGUGUAGCGGUGAAAUGCAUAGAUAUCGCGCAGAACCCCGAUUGCGAAGGCAGCGUGCCGUGCCGCCACUGACGCUGAGGCACGAAAGCGCGGGGAUCGAACAGGAUUAGAUACCCCGGUA
rnacentral:rRNA from 1 species